CUUCAGGUAUGGAUGCUUACAUAGCUUCUUCUCACAAACCCUGGGUACUAGAUUCUGGAGCCUCAUCUCAUAUGACAGGACCUAGCAACUGGGAUGAAGAUUGGUUCGGGGCAUGAGAGAGGAGGUAUGUACUAUUUGGACGACAGUGUGCCAGAAGCUGGCCUUAUUGCAUCACAGUCUGACUCCACUUUAUUGUGGCACUGGCGUCUGGGUCAUCCUUCACUAUAAAAACU